UACGAGGGGUGCAAGCGUUGCUCGGAAUUAUUGGGCGUAAAGGGUAGGUAGGUGGUCUCAUUUGUCUGGGGUGAAAGCCUUGAGCUUAACUCAAGAAGUGCCCCGGAAACGGUGAGACUAGAGUACUGGAGAGGGUCGUGGAAUUCCCGGUGUAGCGGUGAAAUGCGUAGAUAUCGUGAGGAACACCAGAGGCGAAGGCGGCUUCCUGGACAAUUGCUGACGCUCAGGCACGAAAGCGUGGGGAGCAAAAGGG
rnacentral:rRNA from 1 species